CAAUAGCGUAUAUUAAAGUUGUUGCGGUAAAAAAGCUCGUAGUUGGAUUUCUACCGAAGAUAGCCGGUCGGGUCUUCGACCUUGUAUCUGGUUUUGUCUUUGGUAUCCUCAUAGGGAACGUUUCUGCGCUUUAUUGCGUGGUGCGGUAUCUAUGACUUUUACUUUGAGGAAAUUAGAGUGUUCACGGCAGGCAAACGCCUUGAAUAUAUUAGCAUGGAAUAAUAACAUAGGAUCUUCGUCCUAUUUUGUUGGUUUCUAGGGCUAAGAUAAUGAUUAAUAGGGAUAAUUGGGGGCAUCUGUAUCAACGCGUCAGAGGUUGAAUUCUUGGAUUGCGUUGCGACAAACUACUGCGAAAGCAUUUGCCAAGGAUGUUUUCAUUGA
rnacentral:rRNA from 1 species